rnacentral:rRNA from 1 species
UACGGGGGGGGCAAGCGUUGUUCGGAAUUACUGUGCGUAAAGGGCUCGUAGGCGGCCAACUAAGUCAGACGUGAAAUCCCUCGGCUUAACCGGGGAACUGCGUCUGAUACUGGAUGGCUUGAGUUCGGGAGAGGGAUGCGGAAUUCCAGGUGUAGCGGUGAAAUGCGUAGAUAUCUGGAGGAACACCGGUGGCGAAGGCGGCAUCCUGGACCGAUACUGACGCUGAGGAGCGAAAGCCAGGGGAGCAAACGGG